GACGAACGCUGGCGGCGUGCUUAACACAUGCAAGUCGAACGAUGAAGCCGGAGCUUGCUCUGGUGAAUUAGUGGCGAACGGGUGAGUAACACGUGAGUAACCUGCCCUUGACUCUGGGAUAACUGCGGGAAACUGUAGCUAAUACCGGAUACGACCCUCGGAGGCAUCUCCUGGGGGUGGAAAGAAUUUCGGUCAAGGAUGGACUCGCGGCCUAUCAGCUAGUUGGUGAGGUAAAGGCUCACCAAGGCGACGACGGGUAGCCGGCCUGAGAGGGUAACCGGCCACGCUGGGACUGAGACACGGCCCAGACUCCUACGGGAGGCAGCAGUGGGGAAUAUUGCACAAUGGGCGCAAGCCUGAUGCAGCAACGCCGCGUGAGGGAUGACGGCCUUCGGGUUGUAAACCUCUUUUAGCAGGGAAGAAGCGAAAGUGACGGUACCUGCAGAAAAAGCACCGGCUAACUACGUGCCAGCCGCCGCAGUAA
rnacentral:rRNA from 1 species